UGGAAGUAAAAAGUCGUAACAAGGUCUCCGUUGGUGAACCAGCGGAGGGAUCAUUACCGAGUUUACAACUCCCAAACCCCUGUGAACAUACCUAUACGUUGCCUCGGCGGAUCAGCCCGCGCCCCGUAAAAAGGGACGGCCCGCCCGAGGACCCCUAAACUCUGUUUUUAGUGGAACUUCUGAGUAAAACAAACAAAUAAAUCAAAACUUUCAACAACGGAUCUCUUGGUUCUGGCAUCGAUGAAGAACGCAGCAAAAUGCGAUAAGUAAUGUGAAUUGCAGAAUUCAGUGAAUCAUCGAAUCUUUGAACGCACAUUGCGCCCGCCAGUAUUCUGGCGGGCAUGCCUGUUCGAGCGUCAUUUCAACCCUCAAGCUCAGCUUGGUGUUGGGACUCGCGGUAACCCGCGUUCCCCAAAUCGAUUGGCGGUCACGUCGAGCUUCCAUAGCGUAGUAAUCAUACACCUCGUUACUGGUAAUCGUCGCGGCCACGCCGUAAAACCCCAACUUCUGAAUGUUGACCUCGGAUCAGGUA
rnacentral:rRNA from 1 species